rnacentral:rRNA from 1 species
CGGGGUGAGUAAUGUAUGGGGAUCUGCCUGAUGGCGGGGGAUAACUACUGGAAACGGUAGCUAAUACCGCAUAAUGUCGCAAGACCAAAGAGGGGACCUUCGGGCCUCUUGCCAUCGGAUGUGCCCAGAUGGGAUUAGCUAGUAGGUGGGGUAACGGCUCACCUAGGCGACGAUCCCUAGCUGGUCUGAGAGGAUGACCAGCCACACUGGAACUGAGACACGGUCCAG